CGGUGAGGUAGCUCAGCAGGAGAGAGCGGCCAGUCUACGGGACUGGAGUGUCGAUGGUUCGAGGCCUUCUCCACCGA
rnacentral:tRNA from 1 species